UACGUAGGGUCCAAGCGUUAUCCGGAAUCACUGGGCGUAAAGCGUGCGUAGGCGGGAGUUUAAGUGCAAUGCGAAAUCUUGUGGCUCAACCAUAUAGACUGUAUUGCAUACUGGACACCUAGAGGACGGCAGAGGCAAGUGGAAUUACUGGUGUAGCAGUGAAAUGCGUAGAUAUCAGUAGGAACACCAAUGGCGAAGGCAGCUUGCUGGGCCGACCCUGACGCUAAGGCACGAAAGCGUGGGAGCGAACAGG
rnacentral:rRNA from 1 species